AGCUGCUCCACAGCCCCAGGACGGCGCUAGGACACACCUGUGAACCUUCAAUGUGGGUUCCUGCCAUGGGGAAAAUUCAAGUGUAUGUAGAGGCUUGACUGUGGUUCCUGACCUGCUUGAGACCCCCACACACUCUGACCCUAUGUCUGAAACUCUGUUCAAAAGUCCAAAUCUCAAAUAUCUAUGGAAUGCCUAGCAAGUGCCAGGCACUGGGCUAAGUUUACCUAACCCAGCUUGCUUGCUUCUCUUAAGAUUCACUGUGCCAUUCCACACCACGCUCAAGCAAUCAACCCCAAACUCUCCCACUCACUCUGAGGAACAAGGGUUCACACUGGGAGAUGAAGUGGGCAGUGGAGUCAGGGAGGCCAGUUUAGGGAGCUCCACAUCCCAGCUCUGUGAACUUGGCUGGUUACUCUGCCUUUUUGUGCUUUCAUUUUCUCGUCUAUAAAAAGGGCUUAAUAACCCCCAC
rnacentral:lncRNA from 1 species